CGCGGCUUGCAUCCGAGUCGCCAAACCGCGGUUCGGUUCGCCGCGACCGCGCGACCCCCUUUCCUUCGCCCCCUUCUCCCCCUCUCUUCUCUCCUCUCUCUUCGCACCGCUCCUUCCCCCCUCCUCGAGCUGCUGGUAUCUCCACCGCGAGGAGAGGCGGAUGAGCGACGCCAUCCUCCCGGGUGCUUUCCGCCUCGCGGAGGGGGCGUGCCUCCCACGCCUCGCUCGAUCCGAUGAAGCUGCUGGGGGGCGCGCGAUGCGGAGCCCGUGGCGGUGGGGGGGAUUUUUUUUGGUUUGUUCAGCUGCCUGCUUCGAGCUCGCAACAUUGCGGCCAGGUGCUGGAAAGGUGAUGCCUCAUAUUCUCGUUACUUGUUAGGUGUAAGGCCAGCAGGCAGCAGCUCUGUUCAGGACACCACUUUCUACUAUAUGGCUGCCUUUCAUAGUGUAAAGCCACGACAUGGAAGCCUGGAAGAAUUUAAUGAGUGUUCGUUAGAUAUCUUAUUAUUCAUUUCAAGAUUGUCAUCUUUCAUCCCACCCUCUUUAUGCUGCACUUGAAUGGGUGCGUUCGGAAGCUCUACUCGUUUAGUAUAAUCUUCAAGUGAUAAUAGAUCAUUCCUAUCCCUUUUUUGCGAUGCUGCUUGUUCAUCUGCUUACUGUUAGCCAUUUCUGCAUUUGCAUAUAUCCUGAUAGCAAUAUUCUAGAGGAAAUGUAACGCCCAGAAGCCUAGUUUUGUCACUGACAUAUAUUCUCAUAUUGAUCCAUCAUUACGUACGUUUUGUUGACUUGUGUUAUAUUUCUAACUUAAAAGCUUGGCAAAAAUACUUGAUUGUGCAUGCAGAAUUGAGCGUGCUGAACAAUUCUGAGAAAGGAUUGCUUCCAAGGAGGAUAGAUUAACAUCAUAUCACUGGUCAGAAAGACAAGAUUCCAUGAAGGUUCACACAGGCCUCAGGUGCUACUCCCCACUCUCCCCUCAGUAUUUACAUUUCACACAUUAUGUACAGUCAUCCAACAGUUGCCAUGCGCCCAAAUUUGCCUGCACCGCCAACAGAUGAUCCUAUCUCAUCCUUGCACCUCCCUGCAGCGCUCACAUCCAUUCUGCUACCACCAUUGCCACCUCCACCACCACGACCCUUUCCUCUGCGUGGACUAGCACACUUCCUGCAGAUGAACUUCUCAGGGACAUCAUCAAAAUCACUAAUCCCUGAACACCUGGUGUGUUGCCAAACUCCACAAACAUCACAUGCAAGCAUCCUCUCGCCAUCAUCGUCCUUGGCUCCACAGGUGCAGUCGACCGUCCAGUUCUCCAACCCCCUUUCCAUCCUGAAUUGCACAAUUCUUCGGUUAUCCCCAGUGCACCUUCCUCUUACCCUCACGAGCUGGCUUGAGCCAAGCACAUGCUUCACGAGGGUUGUGUCACUAAAAUUUGGGAAGUCAGGGAGCUGUUCAACCUGGUAGCUUUGGAACAUGAGGUAUGUUUCUUGAAAGGCCCUUGUAGCCUGUAUUUUCAGUUCAGCAAGGGUAGCACUUGCUGGUAAAAGCACUAGUUCCACCGGUGGUGCAGUGUAGUCUUUUGGGUGAUCAAGAAGUUCAAUGGAACACCUCACAGAAAGUAGGAAUGGGUUCAAAGGAGCCCGUGGGGUGUGCUGAUCGUAAUGUUUGAUGAACUGCUUGCAGUCGAGAAUCUUUGCUGCUGCACUGUGUGAUGAUGCACCUAUAACCUCUGGCUGUGAAGCCAACAUGGUUUCUGGGUUCAGCAAAGCGUUAUAGAGGAACUUCAGAUCGUGCAGAAGAUGAUCAACAGAAGGCCCAAACGCAGCCGCAUCAACUGACUGGUUGGAGUUAUCUUCCAGCCUGCUUGUCAGCAGAUAUAGGAGGAGGGUCAUGAUAGUUUAUAACAAAGUUAGCCAAAUAGGAGCAACAUUCUGAACAUAGGGCUCACCUGUAUUCAAUUGCACUCGUCUCAGCAUUGCAGCGGACAGCUAUGAAAUGGCCAUCGUCCAUCAGUUUUCCACCCAGUCCUCGAAGAGAAUAGUCAAGUAGCUCCUGUGAAUCAACAGCCUUCGAUGCAGCUCCCCGAAGUGCACGCCAUGAUACCCACUGUCCAGGCUGAACAACCCGUAGGACCUUGAGCAUUGCAGUUUCUGCCCGAUCAAUAUCUUCCUUUGUCCACUUGCAGAGCACAUUAGAUGCAACUUCUUUGUGUUCAUCAGUUGUGGGUUUUGAUGUCUCGUUCUUCUUGCGUGCUUGAUGAAGCAGGUGCAUUAUGAACCGGAAGAGGUCCCGAACAGUCACAAGCUGGCGAUCAGAGAGUGCCCAGUACAGAGCAAUCGUGUUCUGCAGAGGGGUCCGAAUGGGCUGGCGAUGUGAGAAGUACAACGCGAGUUGUAUACCGGAAAGCGUAUCCACUGCCUCUUGGUAAGUAUCUGAGGUUAGUGCAAAGCUACCAGCGCCAAACUUGUAUCCCCAUUCACCAUACCAAGGAUGGCCACUUGUGAUGGCAUGCAGAAGCCUGUAUUCCAUUCCAUGCUUCUUGGAUAUGUCCAUGACAGUUACUUUCCUGCAGUGAGGUUAGUGAAAUUUUCAGGGUUAUGGCAUGCUGAAUAACCCUCUUUUUGUAGGAACGACACAUGAACCAAAACAUAUCGAUCAAUUUAUACCUCACAUGUAGCACCUUGCACAAGCGAUCCCAGAAACUCAUUAUGUCACGGCCCGUGAGACAUCUUGAGCCACCUUCACGGCCAUUUACCCUCAGAAGGUGGCCAUAACCAUUUGCAUGCACCACAGCGUGCAGCAGGUGGGUGUUGUCGUCCAGAUGCAUGUACCCGCACUCCUCCAGCUCCUCGCCAUCCAUAUCAAAGUUGCAUAGGAGGCAUCUGGAAAACAUUGCAUCCAAAGUUAGCACGAACCACAAUUAGCAUAGGGCAGCAUCAUUCGAUCACCAAAUCUCUCACAAGUUUAAUCUUUGCAUCUAGGCACGAUAAGAACAACUCGACAACUACACCACGAUAUGAAAUAAACUAGGCACAUUAUCAUCCUUCCGCCCGAAACCAAUCGUGGUGUUACAGUUGACUAUAUUUAUCUUCUCUGAAACUAACGGUGCUUGUUCUUCCCACCUUGAUUCUCCAGCGACUGUGGGAGUCCCGCAGCGGAGGCAGCAGCUGUGGCGCUUGCCGCACACCUGGUUGUUGUCGUUCUCGAUGAUGAAAUGGUACCGCUUCCCACAGACCGGGUGACCACUCCAUCCUGCAACCAAACAAAUGGCAUCGCGCAAGAUUACAUCACUGCUUCUGUAGGAUUGAAUUUUUUUCUUCUCUUUUGCAAAAGGAUUGUGACAGCAAUCAAAUGUGGAAAUUGUACAUCAAAAGCAACAGGCCAACAAUACUUGCAUAGGCUAACAGUCACAGAAGGGGGCGAGAAGAUUCAAGAGAAAUUGCUGUUGGAAACAGACACGGCGUCA